rnacentral:rRNA from 1 species
AACGAACGCUGGCGGCAGGCUUAACACAUGCAAGUCGAACGAGCUGGGGUCUUCUGUCCCCUAUGCUAGUGGCGCACGGGUGAGUAACACGUGGGAAUAUUCCCUCUAGUACGGAAUAACCAAGGGAAACUUUGGCUAAUACCGUAUACGCCCUUCGGGGGUAAGAUUUAUUGCUAAAGGAUUUGCCCGCUUCUGAUUAGGUAGUGGGUGAGGGAGUGGCUCACCAGGUAGACGAUCCGUAGCUGGGCUGCGAGGAUGAUCAGCCACACUGGGACUGAGACACGGCCUCGACUCCGACGGGAGGCAGCAGGGGGGAAUAGUGGACAAGGGGGGCAACCCUGAGCCAGCCAUGUGGCGUGAGUGAAGAAGGCGUUCGGGUUGCAAAUCUCUUUCGACGGGGGCGAUGAUGACGGUACCCGGAGAAGAAGCCCCGGCAAACUUCGUG